GACGAACCGUGCGAACGUUGUUCGGAAUCACUGGGCUUAAAGGGCGCGUAGGCGGCUAUCUUGGUCGUGGGUGAAAUCCCCCAGCUUAACUGGGGAAGGGCUUACGAUACCGGGGGGCUCGAGGGAGGAAGGGGCGGUCGGAACUGUCGGUGGAGCGGUGAAAUGCGUUGAUAUCGACAGGAACGCCGGUGGCGAAAGCGGACCGCUGGCCCUCUUCUGACGCUGAGGCGCGAAAGCCAGGGGAGCGAACGGG
rnacentral:rRNA from 1 species